AACGAACGCUGGCGGCAUGCCUAACACAUGCAAGUCGAACGAAGCCUUCGGGCUUAGCGGCGCACGGGUGCGUAACGCGUGGGAAUCUGCCCCUUGCUUCGGAAUAACAGUUAGAAAUGACUGCUAAUACCGGAUGAAGUCUUCGGACCAAAGAUUUAUCGGCAAGGGAUGAGCCCGCGUAGGAUUAGGUAGUUGGUGGGGUAAAGGCCUACCAAGCCGACGAUCCUUAGCUGGUCUGAGAGGAUGAUCAGCCACACUGGGACUGAGACACGGCCCAGACUCCUACGGGAGGCAGCAGUGGGGAAUAUUGGACAAUGGACGCAAGUCUGAUCCAGCAAUGCCGCGUGAGUGAUGAAGGCCUUAGGGUUGUAAAGCUCUUUUACCAGGGAUGAUAAUGACAGUACCUGGAGAAUAAGCUCCGGCUAACUCCGUG
rnacentral:rRNA from 1 species